rnacentral:lncRNA from 1 species
AUAGUUACGUUUCUGAUCACGUUUUGAAGGACAAUAACGAAUAUGUGCGCACAUUUAAGAGUGCUAAAGACUUAGCUGAUCAAAUGAAUAUACCAUCGUAUUCUGUUCGUUUGUUUAAUGAUGUCUCUGACCGUAGGUAUGCUUUGCCUUUACCUGGGUCUUUGGGUUGUAUUGUUACCGAUGAUGAUACAAAUUCUGUGUGGUAUGAUAUUGUUGUUCACUCUAAUUUGGGUUGUCCCCAUUGAGCCUAUUUAGCCGAGCGGAACCCUUUUCAAAUAAUAUAUAUAUAUAUAAAAUAAUAAGCUAAGGGGGCUGGGAAUCGCAAGAAUUGAAAAGUCCUCCAUUGAAUGGGAUGAGAAAGACAGGUUCGGAAAUGGCCGGAUUAGCAGGAGGAAGGGCGGCCCCACCCUGAAACAAAGGUGUACGUACAUAAAUAAAGAGACUGGUUAUGGCCUUGAUAGGGCUCCUUCCCAUCUAUCUUGACCGGGAAGAGGGGGGAGGCUCUUGCGGAAGCCCUGCCCGCCCUUCUCUAUUCUAUUUUUAGGAUCCCUNUCCUAAUUACUAAGAAUACUUAAAAUCUUCCUUUUAAUUAAUAAAUUAAUAAAAAUAUCAUUUAACAUGAAUUAAGAAAACGUUUAUUUGUUUUAUAUUGUUAUUUUUACUAACAACAUUUGAUAAUGAAUAAUUUAUCGGUUUACCUCAUUUAUUUUUUAAAAAAAAUAUCUUCAUAAAUAAUGAUUUAUACAUUACAUUUAAAAAUGAAUAAAAUUGUAAAUUAUAAAUGACUUAACUCGGUUGUAUUUAUGAAUACACUUGUAAAAUCAUAAAUGAAUAAAACCCGAAAAAAAAAAGAUUAUAAAAUCAACUAAAAUGGUACUCAUAUAUAAAUAAAUAAAACACAUUUCUAUUCAUAUAAGAAUAUAAUUAUAAUAGUAAAUGAAUAAGUUACAAUAUAUAUUUUUUUUGACACUGAAACUAGUGCUACAAUUACAAUCAUAGAUGAAUAAAACACAUUUUUUAUCCUUCCAAAAGAGGUAUUGGUGUCGGUGUUUCCUCUGGUAAAUCUCUCACCUCCCAAUAUAUGCAUGUUUAUUCAUUGUAUCUGCAAAAUUUUUAAUGAAACAAUUAUGUAUAAUUAUAUAGUCAUUCACACAUAAAUACACUUAUAUUUACAAAUGAAUACCCAGUUAUUCAUAAAUAAAUAUAGUCAUUCAAACAUAAAUUCACACAUAAAUAUACUGGUUGUGGUUGCUUGCCUUGCUCCUCUCGGACCAGCCUCAUGGAGUAUUCUUUGAUGAUUAACUGCAAAAUGAGACAUCUAAUAUUAUAUUCAUAUAAGAUUACAACUGCAAGCAUUCAAGUUUUAUUUUUCUGAGUUCGGGCAUUUCAUCGAGCACCUUAUGUGCAUAACUUAUUUUAUUCCCCUAUUAGCCAAUUUAAAUGAGUAAAGUACCAUACCUAAGAAACAUAUUCAAGAAAAAGAAUUGCUAAGCUUUGGUGCAUAAAAUAAAAUAAAUAACAGACGAGGUGAGAGACGGGAAUGAAAAACAAAAACUUGAUUAUGAAGAAAAAGGGCUUGGUGGUGUAUAGAUGAAGAACGAAAGUCAUGUGAAUGUCAAUCAAUAGCAAACAAACACCCCUGAGAUCAUUGUGCUAAUCUAUCUUCGUUUCCUGCAAUCAAAGAUCAAACCCAAGCACCCACUUAAGCCUAUCGUUGGAACUCUGCAAAAAAAAAGGAGUAAAGGAACUGCUGAAGCAGCCCCACCAUCCUCUUAACCCAUCCACUUACCUACCACCAACCGGAGCAAAACACCGCCAAGGGCUCGCUAUCUCCACUGUUGCUGCUCACUUCGCUGAUUUCUUUGUCCCAUCGGAACCCCUCUUUCCUACCGGUUGAACCUCUGGCACUUCUCCUCUUUGCGAAUCAACUGACGAACUCUUGCCUGCGAGACUUCCCGUUUCCUUCUCGCCGUUCUUGAUUCGACUCCCUUCAUUCAUCUGCUUUGUCGCCUUCGUUCCAUGUACUGGAAUCUUUCGUUCAUUCCUUUAUUUGCCCGAUCAAAACAAGAGACGGGGAAUUAAAAAGCCCUUAACCAUUUCUUGCUCACAUACCUGCAUCGAGACGAUGAAGAACGAAAGUCGUCUCUAGUGGUGUAUAGAUGAGGGAGGCGACGAAGCAUGCCCUAGGUAUAGAGAGAGAGAGACGGCAAAUUAAAAGGAAAGAUAUCAAUGUGUGAGAAGUUAUAGAAAUUAAAUAAACAUUCAAUUACUAUUAUACCCUUUUCACCAUUUAAAGUUACACUUUAAUACCAAUAAAUUUUAGAAUUUACAUCAAUGGUCCGUCUGAUAAUAGUCUUAGAUUUGAAUAUUUAGAUGGUCAAGAUCUAUUCUCGCGUUCUCAACCUUUUAGGUGUUCUCAUUUGAUCCUACUCCUAUAUAUAUAUAUAUAUAUANNNNNNNNNNNNNNNNNNNNNAUAAUAAGCUAAGGGGGCUGGGAAUCGCAAGAAUUGAAAAGUCCUCCAUUGAAUGGGAUGAGAAAGACAGGUUCGGAAUUCACAUGUCAUCUCAUUGUUCACCCGGAAAAUCUUCUUGCCAUAAAGCGCGAACCAAGAUCCGUGAGACGAAAACCAAAAUAAUAUGUAAUGUUCAAUUUUCAUAUGUUACUAAACAUAUGUUCAACGGUAAAUUAGUGUUUAAUGUAAUGUUUAAUGUUUCAUACGUUAAACAUAUGUACAACAGUAAAUUAAUGUUUAAUAUUUCAUAUGUUUCAGUUACGU